AUUGAACGCUGGCGGCAUGCCUAACACAUGCAAGUCGUACGAGUGGCGGACGGGUGAGUAAUGUCUGGGAAACUGCCCGAUGGAGCGGGAUAACAACGGGAACCGGUAUCUAAUACCGCAUACCAUCGGAUGUGCCCAGAUGGGAUUAGCUAGUAGGUGGGGUAACGGCUCACCUAGGCGACGACCCCUAGCUGGGCUGAGAGGAUGACCAGCCACACUGGAACUGAGACACGGUCCAGACUCCUACGGGAGGCAGCAGUGGGGAAUUUUGGACAAUGGGGGAAACCCUGAUCCAGCCAUCCCGCGUGUGCGAUGAAGGCCUUCGGGUUGUAAAGCACUUUUGGCAGGAAAGCGGUACCUGCAGAAUAAUCACCGGCUAACUACGUGCCAGCAGCCGCGGUAAUAC
rnacentral:rRNA from 1 species